rnacentral:rRNA from 1 species
CCUUCAUGGAGAUGAUUGAAAGAUGGGUUUGGUCUAUCACUUACAGAUGGGCCCGCGGUGCAUAAGCUAGUUGGUGAGGGUAACGGCUCACCAAGGCCACGAUGCAUAGCCGACCUGAGAGGGUGAUCGGCCACACUGGGACUGAGACACGGCCCAGACUCCUACGGGAGGCAGCAGUAGGGAAUCUUCCGCAAUGGACGAAAGUCUGACGGAGCAACGCCGCGUGAGUGAUGAAGGCUUUCGGGUCGUAAAACUCUGUUGUUAGGGAAGAACAAGUACNAGAGUAACUGCUNGUACCUUGACGGUACCUAACCAGAAAGCCACGGCUAACUACGUGCCAGCAGCCGCGGUAAUACGUAGGUGGCAAGCGUUAUCCGGAAUUAUUGGGCGUAAAGCGCGCGCAGGCGGUUUCUUAAGUCUGAUGUGAAAGCCCACGGCUCAACCGUGGAGGGUCAUUGGAAACUGGGGAACUUGAGUGCAGAAGAGAAAAGCGGANUUCCACGUGNAGCGGUGAANUGCGUAGAGAUGUGGAGGAACACCAGUGGCGANGGCGGCUUUUUGGUCUGUAACUGACGNUGAGGCGCGAAAGCGUGGGGAGCAANCAGGAUUAGAUACCNUGGUNGUCCACGCCGUAAACGAUGAGUGCUAAGUGUUAGAGGGUUUCCGCCCUUUAGUGCNGCAGNUAACNCAUUAAGCANUCCGCCUGGGGAGUACGGUCGCAAGACUGAAACUCAAAGGAAUUGACGGGGGCCCGCNCAANCGGUGGAGCAUGUGGUUUAAUUNGAAGCAACGNGAAGANCCUUACCAGGUCUUGACAUCCUCUGACAACUCUAGAGAUAGAGCGUUCCCCUUCGGGGGACAGAGUGACAG